UACGUAGGGUGCAAGCGUUAAUCGGAAUUACUGGGCGUAAAGCGUGCGCAGGCGGUUGUGCAAGACAGAUGUGAAAUCCCCGGGCUUAACCUGGGAACUGCAUUUGUGACUGCACGGCUAGAGUGUGUCAGAGGGGGGUAGAAUUCCACGUGUAGCAGUGAAAUGCGUAGAUAUGUGGAGGAAUACCGAUGGCGAAGGCAGCCCCCCUGGGCUAACACUGACGCUGAGGCACGGAAAGCGUGGGGAGCAAACAGGG
rnacentral:rRNA from 1 species